rnacentral:misc_RNA from 1 species
GAUGAAGAACGCAGCGAAAUGCGAUAAGUAAUGUGAAUUGCAGAAUUCAGUGAAUCAUCGAAUCUUUGAACGCACAUUGCGCCCGCCAGUAUUCUGGCGGGCAUGCCUGUUCGAGCGUCAUUUCAACCAUCAAGCCCCCGGCUUGUGUUGGGGACCUGCGGCUGCCGCAGGCCCUGAAAUGCAGUGGCGGGCUCGCUGUCACUCCGAGCGUAGUAGUUACAUCUCGCUCUGGGCGUGCUGCGGGCUCCGGCCGUUAAAAGCCUUAUUUACCCAAGGUUGACCUCGGAUCAGGUAGGAAGACCCGCUGAACUUAAGCAUAUCAAUAAGCGGAGGA